rnacentral:rRNA from 1 species
GACGAACGCUGGGGGCGUGCUUAACACAUGCAAGUCGAACGAACUCGACCUUCGGGUCAAUGAGUGAGUGGCGAACGGGUGAGUAACACGUGAGAAACCUACCUCGAAGUAAGGAAUAACCCAGGGAAACUCGGGCUAAUACCUUAUGCCUUGCACAGAUCGAAUGGUCAGUGCAAGAAAGAUUUAUCGCUUUGAGAGGGUCUCGCGGACUAUCAGCUUGUUGGUAAGGUAAAGGCUUACCAAGGCUAUGACGGUUAGCUAGUCUGAGAGGACGAUUAGUCACACUGGAACUGAGAUACGGUCCAG